GUGUAAAAGUUUCUGAUGCCCGAGGCCCCUAAGCAGACUUCCCCCGUUCACAUCCACUGCCGUUUACCUCUUCCCCUCUCUCGUGUCCUUUCCUGGCGACGACGACUGCGCGAGCGGCGCCACUCUUCACCAGGUGCCCUUUCCCGGCGACGAGCAGCCACCAGGUGGAGACUGCAAGGACCAAGUGAGAGUGUUUGCUUUAUCCAUUAUUGCUGCUCCUUAGAAGAAAACCGCACUAUUGUUUGUCGCCUGCCAGCUAUUGCCAUCAGCUUGGGAGAUGGAGUAGGCAAAGGGAAUAUGCAUAUGCAGGAUUUUGGACAAUGGCCACCCCAAGCACAGAACACUGCCAGUCUAUGUUUUGCAAAUGUUGUAGUGCCAUCUCAGAUCAAUACUUCUAUAGAGGUGCAUAGUAGAACUUCUACAUUCUUGUCAUCUGAGAAAGAAUAUGCACCGUUUGGCAAUACAAAUGGUGCUUUGCCAAUCGAAAGCAUUAGAAAUGAUGGGUCAAUUAUAGGCACUUGGGAUGGUGCUGGGCCAGUUGAAGGCAUUAGGUAUGAUGCUGGGUCAACUGUAGGCACCAGAAAUGGUGCUGGGCCAAUUGAAGGCAUUAGGUGUGAUGCUAGGUCAAUUGUUGGCACCAGGAAUGAUUCUGGGCCAAUUGAAGCUAUUAGGCAUGAUGCUGGGUUGAUCAUAGGCACUGGAGAUGGUGCUGGACCAGUUGAAGGUAUUGACUUGAACAAGACACCAGCACAAAAGUCUAAGAGGAAAAAGCACAGGCCAAAGGUCUUGAAAGAAGAAAAACCAUCCAAGACAGCAAAGUCCACAACUCCAAAGCCUUCCAAGGACGAAAAACCAUCUGGCAAGAGAAAGUAUGUCCGUAAAAAUACACCAGCAGGUCAACCUCCUCCAGAACAGGCUGCUGAUUCAAAUUGCAGAGCUGAGCUGAAAUCAGCUAGGCGAUGUUUGAACUAUGAUGGGAAAAAUGAUCAGGAGGAUGCUCAUCCUGGAACUCCAACUCAGGUGACAGAAUUAUCAACUGACCCUAAGGAUUAUCAACCAUCUAUAUCCUCCAUCAAUCAAAGAAAUGUUCAAAGCCAGUCAGCAUGCCAUGCUGGUUGGACCACCAGCUCUGUUUACACCCAUGCAAAUCAGAUGGCUAAUGCACAGUUAUUACCUGCACAUAACAUGCAGAAAGGAGUAUUGAUAGACCUCAACAAUUCUUCUUUGAAUCAGAUACCAAAUGAGCACACUAACUUUGCAGACAGCCCUGCGCAAUUUUUUCAGUACAGAGUAAGAGAAAUGGUAGAACCAAAUCCUUUGUUAGAGCUCCAUGAUGGCAUACCACAUAAAAAUGUACCUGACAUCAACAGUUCGAUCAUUCUAUUGCAGAGCAUCCCUACCGAUUUCACUGAAAACUUGCUUUCGUCUCCUCCAGCUUCUUUAAGACAAAAGCAAAUGGCCAACCAGCUGCUUACUGGUUAUGAAAGGCCAGAAUAUCCAAUGACACAAACUCAAGGUUUUGAAAGAUUAUAUACAAGGAACGGAGUGACGGCAGACCAAAUGCCUGGUAGUUAUAUAUUGGCAAGCAACCGCAGCCCACCUGCCAAUACCGAACAGAAUUCAGUGAUGGAAAAUUUGAAUCAACUUGUUACAACUGAUGACCACUUAAGGAUUACUGGUCCAUACAGGUAUACUGGAGCAGCCCCCAGGUCUCAUGCUUCUCAGGACUCCUCACAUAUCCAUGCUAUGGAUAGCAGACGAGAAAAAACUGCUUCAAAUGAUGCUCAGACUAUGUUAGGUACGAACUUCAGUCACCAAAAUAAUGGGUUGGCAUCUGUAAAUGCUUGGCAUUCCACCAUCCCUGAGGCAUCAUAUUUUCCAGAAAUCUAUAAAAGAAUGAGGUUAAAUAAUCACGAUUACCGUCUGAAUGGAGCUGUUGACAAUUGUUCUUCCUCAUCUCCAUAUUUGUGUAACAGUGAGAAUGCAAAUCUGGUUCCAGCAGUAAACUCUAAUGUUUGUACAUUAGCUGAUGCACAAAGAUUGAUAGCCCAUGAGAAAUCCCGAGCUUCCCAGAGAAUGAUCAGUGUAGGAUCAGCACAAAACAGUAUGGCUAAAAGCAUGGAAAUGGUCCAACAGCAAUCUCUUCUACAUGGCACUGCAUUCAGGGGUUCCAUUGAAGUACCUGAGAAACAGUUCAGUUUGGUAACAGAAGAAUGCACACAGUUGCCAGUGCAGCGACAUAAUGUUACUGCAAGACUUGGAAGUCAUCAACUCCAGUCUUUGGGAGGUAACAUGGUUUCAGGUUCAGACUUACCAGCUAAACUGCACGAGCAUUGCAUUUCUCCGCAAGAUGAAACUCAGAACAGUGUCUGCAUUGCUCCUCCUGAUGAGCUUGGCCGAAGCAUCAAUGUGGAGCAUUUUAGGUCUCCUGGCACUCAAAUUAACUCAUCAACAGGUAAAAGCACUCCGAGAACAGAGAUUCAUCAUCCGGAGAUUUCUGCGGAAAUUAUUAGGACCCCUACCAAUCCAACAAAUCCAAUAACAAGUAAUGAUGUUCUGAGGACUGAGAAUAAUCAAGAAACCUUUGCAGCUAAACCCAGUCAGAAGAGAAAAGUAGGACGUCCCAGGAAGGAGUUAAAACCUGGGGAGAAGCCAAAACCUAGGGGCCGCCCAAGGAAAGACAAGGUUGUUCAUGAUGUAGUUAUCUCAAAAGGGAGCCACACUGACCCAUUACAGAAUGAGGGAAUUUCUUCUGUCUUGGCACCUCAUGCAGAAGGUGCCUCUUGUGCAAGAACAGUUACUUUGGAAAGAGUUAUAGAAAGUGUUUCUGAAGCUCCAGAACCAUCGAUAGACUCUUUAGAUCUCAUAAUUCAGAAAAUAAUGCUGUUAGACAUUAACAAAUUGGAUACGACUCGAGUAGCUGAACCACAUGGUGCUCUUGUCCCUUAUAAAAGAGAAAUUUGUGCAAUUAUUCCGUUUGAGGGAAAUGUGAAAAGAAAACGUUCUCGGGCCAAGGUGGACCUUGAUCCAGUAACCACUUUGAUGUGGAAGUUACUAAUGGGACCAGAUAUGAGUGAUGGUGCAGAAGCGAUGGACAAGGAUAAAGAGAAGUGGCUGGAUGAAGAAAGGAAAAUAUUCCGAGGACGUGUUGAUUCAUUUAUUGCCCGCAUGCAUCUUGUUCAAGGAGAUAGGCGUUUCUCUCCUUGGAAAGGAUCAGUUGUGGAUUCAGUAGUGGGGGUUUUCCUUACUCAGAAUGUUUCGGAUCAUCUUUCCAGCUCUGCCUUUAUGGCUCUUUCUGCAAAAUUUCCUGCAAAGCCAGAAGUCUCUGAAAAACCUACAAUUUCAGAAGAUAAUGGUUGCUGCUCGAGUUUUUUUGGUGAUGCUACCAAAUUGCAAGGCGAAGUCCUUGUUGAAGAGGCAAGCACCACAGCAGGCUCCUUAAUCACAGCAGAAGAAAAGGUUGGAAGCAAUAGUACUGAAUUGUUUGGAAGUUCUUCUGGAGAUGGAUUGGACGGUGUAGGAAUUCAUUCCGAUUCUUAUUGGAAGCUGCCAGCUAGACUCCAUGAGAGUAGGCCUGUAGCUGCUGGGGCUGAGAGUUUUGUUGAAGCUGAAAAUGGGUCGCUGGAAGAUGUUGUUUCAUCACAAAACUCUGCCAUUUCAUCUCAAAACUCCCCAGAUUACCUGUUUCACAGAAACGAGCAUAUGUUUUCUAGCACGCCACUAAAGUUCACAGCAGAGGCCUUUGUCCACAGAAAUAAGCCUAUUGGUACCAGCAGUUCAAUGACAUAUACAGAACUUUUACGGAUGCAAGAGAUAAAGAGCAAGUAUAGUGAAAACAUUGCAUCAUGGGAGUAUUGUGAAGUUCCAGACUUAUUUACAAAGAAGGGGCCACCCCUCAACGAGUUACAAGACCUCAGAAAAAAACAUCAUCAUCUUUACACUUCUGAUACUUAUCAACAGAAUGGCCAAGUUCAUUUUGGUGGUAUAGCCUCUGGCAGCGAUUUGGGAAGAUCCUCAUCAUACACUGCCCUUAACACUGUGGACUAUUCUAAUGGCACACAAGCUGAAACUACUUUCCAGUAUCCUUCAUCUGAUCAUGGUUUUCCCAGUACAAUCAAACCCACAACGGUUGACUCUUUGGGUGCCCUGUUAUAUGGUAAGAAUGGUUCAUUAAGUCAGGAUAAGAGUCCUUUACCUUCUAAGCCUACAGAAGGAGCUGACCUGUCACCAUUAGUUGAUAUAUAUUUUCAUCCAUCAAGUUCGGAACACAGGAAUCCAAAUCUGCAAGAUGAAAUUACUAUCGGCACAAAGCCAAUUGGACAUCAAAAUUUUCAAUCAGAAUUCAAAGAACCGACUGAUAAGGUUGAAAUUCAGACAGUGAAGGUUCGAGAUGGAUAUUCUUCAAACUUAUGUCAAAACAAGAAGGCAAAUUUCGAAAUCUCAGAGGGAGUUGCUUCAUACAUGGCAGAUAAUUCCAGAGAUGCUAAAAAAGUUUCCUCUGAAGUUCCUAUUGAUGGAUCAAAAGCAAAGAAGUCAAAAGUCGGGACUGGUAAGAAAAGAACUUAUGAUUGGGAUAUUUUAAGAAAAGAAGUGCUUUGCAAUAUUGGAAAAAAAGAAAGAGGCCACAAUGCGAAGGACUCAAUUGAUUGGGAAACAAUAAGGCAAGCAGAUGUCAAGGAAAUAUCUGAAACAAUUAGAGAGCGGGGAAUGAAUAACAUGUUGGCAGAACGAAUAAAAGAAUUUCUAAAUCGAUUGGUGAGAGACCAUGGGAGCAUUGAUCUUGAAUGGUUGCACUAUGUUGAUCCAGACAAAGCAAAGGACUACCUCUUAAGCAUUAGAGGUCUUGGACUCAAAAGUGUAGAGUGUGUGCGUCUUUUGACGCUCCAUCACAUGGCUUUCCCUGUGGACACCAAUGUUGGUAGGAUAUGUGUGAGGCUUGGAUGGGUGCCCCUUCAACCUCUACCUGAGUCUCUUCAGUUGCAUCUAUUGGAGCUGUAUCCAAUGCUGGAGAACAUACAGAAGUACCUAUGGCCUCGACUAUGCAAGCUUGAUCAACGGACACUGUAUGAGCUUCACUACCAAAUGAUUACAUUUGGAAAGGUGUUCUGUACAAAAAGUAAGCCAAAUUGCAAUGCAUGCCCAAUGCGAGCUGAGUGCAAACACUUUGCAAGUGCGUUUGCUAGUGCAAGGCUCGCUCUUCCUGGACCUGCAGAGAAGAGUUUGGUUACAUCUGGUACUCCAACCGCUGCAGAGGGUAGCAACCAUGCAUAUACAAAUUUUAGAACUGUAAGUCAAAAUGAAAGCUGCAACCAGACAAAUAUAAGUUCUGGGCCCGUAAGUCAACUUGAAUGGAAUUCGCAUACCCAUGGCGAUGUUGUGGAGAAAUGCCGUCCAAUCAUUGAGGAGCCAGCAAGCCCAGAACUAGAACCUGAGGCUGCAGAGAUAAAAGAGGAUAUUGAAGAUGCUUUUAUUGAUGAUCCUGAAGAAAUUCCUACUAUCAAGCUUAAUUUCACAGAGUUUACUCAGAACCUAAAGAACUACAUGCAAGCAAAUAACAUUGAGAUUGAAGAUGCUGAUAUGUCAAAGGCCCUGGUUGCCAUAACUCCUGAAGCUGCUUCUAUCCCAACUCCCAAGCUCAAGAAUAUCAGUCGCUUGAGGACAGAGCACCAAGUCUAUGAACUGCCAGACUCACAUCCACUUCUCGAGGGACUUGACCAAAGAGAGCCUGAUGAUCCUUGUCCUUAUCUACUUUCUAUAUGGACUCCAGGCAAGAAACCUAUAAUUUUUUUUCUCGAACAACGCAGGAGAACUGCGUGUCAUUUCAUUAAGAAAGGAAGUCGUACAAAAUGUACAAAGGUGAAACAGCUCAGUCAACUGAUGCACCUCAGACAUUUUGCAACUCCCAAGAGAGCGGUAAACUCUGUGAAAGUGCAACAUGCUUUAGUUGCAACAGUAUACGAGAAGCACAGGCUCAGAAAGUGAGAGGAACAAUUUUAAUACCAUGUCGAACAGCCAUGAGGGGAAGCUUCCCACUUAACGGGACAUACUUUCAAGUAAAUGAGGUAUUCGCUGAUCAUGACUCAAGUCGAAACCCAAUAGACAUUCCAAGGAGCUCAAUAUGGAACCUCCCUAGGAGAACAGUGUACUUUGGAACUUCAGUUCCUACAAUAUUUAAAGGUCUAUCAACUGAAGACAUACAACAUUGCUUUUGGAGAGGCUUUGUCUGUGUGAGGGGCUUUGAUAGGACAUCAAGAGCACCAAGACCACUGUACGCAAGACUUCACUUCCCAGCAAGCAAAAUUACCAGGAACAAGAAAGCUGCAGCUUUUGCUGCAUCAAGAGAUGAUGAAUAGGACAUUGGGGAAAGAAAUAAAGAGGCAUAUAGAUGACCCUGCUAGAGGAUCGCUGACCAAUAAGUUGCCGAAAUCAAUUCAAUCACUCAUGCCAAACACAUCUAUGAGAUAUAAUGAAUCACAACCACCCAUGAUUUGUGGCGACAUGAGGCAUGACUACAGAUUCUAUGCCUGGGUUUUACCAACCAACUGGUUCUUAUAUGGCAGCAUGUUUGCUGCACCAGUAAUUCAACAGACCUGAUGGGGAAUAGAGAGCCUAUUGUCAGGCCAUUGUAGCUGUACUUUCAUGUGAAUUGACUCAUUUUUGUUCUCGUUGUUGUACAUGAGGAGCUCAGCCAUUAAAGUGACCAUUAAUGUUGUUAGGUCAUUCAUGGGAACAUAUCAGAUUAAUCGUUGAUUAUUUGAUUGUUUCAUUGGUGAGGCCAAUUGGCUCAAAAUUCUUCUGAGUUACAGUGACGUAAAAAAUGUAUGUUGACAAAUUGAAGUGAAAAUUAAUUUGCAGUAACUUGGUACCUA